rnacentral:lncRNA from 10 species
GGGAGCAGACAGACAGGUAUGACCCCACAACCCAACUUCCCGAACUAGAUAAAGUAGGGUCCCAACGCCCAGCACCACGUCGUCAACUCCCACCAGCUGGAAGACCAACGGAGUGCCAGCGAACCUUCCGCCCAAUGAGGAAACGUCACCACUCCGCGUAGUCCAGCCUUUCUAUAGGAGAAUCUACUUCCGCUUCCGGGGCACACCGCCGCGUUCCUUCUACGCGGCUCCUGAAACAGUUUAGAUGUUUACUUGCUUACACUGGUUUUUGGUUUCAGUUUCCUACCGCUGAAUAACUGCAGGAGUAAAGUUAGUGGUAAAAUAGGAGGCUGUCUAGGGACGUGAUUUCGGGGAAGAAGUCAGGCCUCGACGAGCCACCUUAAGAAAAGUGACUAGGCGGAGCACUCCCAGCUAAGAGCGGAAAGAUGAGAGAUAGAGGUGUGACUGAAGGCAGGGAUCCCCAGGCGCACGUGAGACCUCCGUAGAGGGGCGGGGCUUAGGGCUUUGCAGACCGGAGGCUUGUUCCGCGGAGGGUGGGGCGGUCUCUGCUUGCGCAUGCGCAAUGCCAGCCAGUGCCUGCGCGGCUUGCUCCAGCAAGGUAAAAUUUCCCACUGCGAGGCAGGCAGUGAUGCUGCGGCCGCUUCGCACUGUGGCUCCUGCCGACCGCCAGGCGCUGUUACAGUGGAUGCGAACUAACCCAUUAUAUCGUACUGCAGAAACCAGCUCAACUAUGCAAAACUACCACCAGGACUGGCCGACACCAGGAGGGAUUCCAGAGACCACACUGCAGGGAGCAUACAGAAAGAAAAUUAAGAGAUCAGAUGCAGCAGCAGCCGGAACCCACAGUUCACCUUGGUGCAUUCCUUUAUGAUGAAGACUUAUUGAUUCAUUAUAUGAGAAAGGAAAAAUGAGCAGAAACUACUGUAUGAUGUGCAGCUCACACCAGACAGCAACUUUAGGUAGGCACUUAGGUAUGCAAAUCUGAUGACUUUAUGUGUAUUUUUUCUUACAUGUCAUGAGUAUGCAAAGUUUGGACUAAGCUAUUCAAUGUUUUCUGAAAGCAAAAGGCCAACCUGUGGCAUGGUUAUUACCAAAUACUGCAGUUAGGGAGAGUAAACGAAUAUUAUCUCAGG